AGCUCCAAUAGCGUAUAUUAAAGUUGUUGCAGUUAAAAAGCUCGUAGUUGGAUUUCUGGCAGGAGCGACCGGUCACUCACUCUGUGUGUGAACUCGUGUUGUCUCUGGCCAUCCUCGGGGAGAUCUUGUUUGGCAUUAAGUUGUCGGGCAGGGGAUACCCGUCGUUUACUGUGAGAAAAUUAGAGUGUUUAAAGCAGGCUUAUGCCGUUGAAUAUAUUAGCAUGGAAUAAUAAGAUAGGACUUCGGAACUAUUUUGUUGGUUUGCGUUACGAAGUAAUGAUUAAUAGGGACAGUUGGGGGUAUUCGUAUUUCGUUGUCAGAGGUGAAAUUCUUGGAUUUCCGAAAGACGAACUACUGCGAAAGCAUUUACCAAGGAUGUUUUCAUUA
rnacentral:rRNA from 1 species